UACGAAGGGGGCUAGCGUUGCUCGGAAUCACUGGGCGUAAAGGGUGCGUAGGCGGGUCUUUAAGUCAGGGGUGAAAUCCUGGAGCUCAACUCCAGAACUGCCUUUGAUACUGAAGAUCUUGAGUUCGGGAGAGGUGAGUGGAACUGCGAGUGUAGAGGUGAAAUUCGUAGAUAUUCGCAAGAACACCAGUGGCGAAGGCGACUUACUGGACAC
rnacentral:rRNA from 1 species